AUUCUUCUCCGUCCUCUCGUCGUGAGUCAUCAGCUAGGAGUCAUCACAGUCUUCACAGGGAAGAGCCACGAGGUUUGGAGUCGGGGGGGGGUCUGUGUGUGUGGAGGCUGCCUGGUUCCUGGCUUGCCUUUUAACUUUAGGAGGCUUGCGUGCACUCAUUGCUUUACUGCUUUUAAAAACCCAGGCAUCCAGAUUUGCCUUGCUGUGUCCUCUUUUCCGUGUAAAAACCUACAUUUAACCUUCUAUUUCCCCCCACUCCUGGUGCUUGAUUUGUUUGUGCGGUCUGAGUGCGAAUUACCUUUCUUAAGCUGCAGCUUGUUCCCUUGCCCAGUACGUGCCCCCAGCGAGGUCUGAGUGUGAGUGUGGCUCUGUCUUUCUUUCUCCCUCGUCUCCUCGCUUUCCUUCCCCUGCCUCUGCCUUGGUGGCUGUGCGUUUUUAUUUAAUUUUUGGCCAGGGUGCGUGUACGUUUUCUCCUCUAUUGCCCUUGCCUGUCCAAUUGCAUGGCUGGUCUGGGUGACUGAGUGGGUUUGCCUUACAUUUUAAUUUGUUGGCCAGGGUGCUGCUGCGUUUUCCCCCUCCAUUGUCCUUGAGAGUCUGGAUAGCUCAGUUGGUUAGAGCAUGGUGCUGAUAAUGCCAAGGUUGCAAGUUCGAUCCCUGUAUGGGACAGCUGAAUAUUUCUGCAUUGCUUGGGUUGGACUAGAUGAUCCUCAGGGUUCCUUUUCCUGUUCCUCUCUAAUUUUAAGUCGUGUGUGUGUGUGUGCUUGCAGCGUGUGUUUGUGCCUGCCGUUUAUUGAUUUGUGUGUUUGUGCCUGCUGUUUAUUGUGCCUGCCGUUUAUUGAUUUAUUACUCUUCUAGUGUGGGUUUAAUUUACCCUGCAAUCCCUUCCAUUGGUACCACUUAAAUCGGGAGCCCCCUGCAAAAUUUUAAAGGCUGCCGGGGCUUGGAAUAGACUGUGCGCUUAAACCUCACCCCUCUUGGUUUCUCUAAGCCAACCCCCCCCCCUUCGCUUGAUGUUUGGGGGAAGAAAUAAGGCAGGGCUUGGGGUGGACAAUUCAGGGUUUCUGAUCAGGGAACCAUUCCUCAGCACUGCACGUUUAUACGUUUAGAACCUUUGAAGGUGUGCCUUUGCCUGGUUCUUGUCAUUGGCUUCACUUGCCAGUACAGGCUCCCUAAAGAAAACCACUUUUAAACAACAACAACAAAAAGGUUUUGGCUUAUAGUACCUUACUGAAAAGUCCAGGUUAACCCACGGUUUAUAUUUCCACUUCAUUUUGGCUCACUGUAAAGGACAGCUAUUUUCCUUUUCUUCAAAAACUUCCUUGCCCGGCAUGUUCAUUUUACUCCCCCUCCUCCCUCCCAACUCCCCCACGCUUUCCUUCUCCUCCCCCACCCGUCCUCCCUCCCUCCACCCCCCAACCUUUCAGGAGAUACAUUGGUCUUUGGAGUUCCCUUUGCUUCUUGCCUGAGUCAUCACAGUUACCAGACAGGUUUUUCAAUUGCUGGGUUGAGAGCUUGAUUGCUCUCUGAGUGACCGGCAGUUUGUGAGGCAUUGUCUUUAAGCACCUGGGAGUUCAGCAGCUCUAGUUGCACUGUCAGUUUAACUAACCAGCAGUUUGACCAAUUGCAGUCUUUUGUCUGUUUAAGCACCCUUAUUUCAAUCAACUGGUAUUGAGCCGACCUUGUGGGCAAAGAUUUACUUUUCUUUGUUUGGCAAAGUUUCCUUUGUUUGGAAGAAACAGCAGUGAGAUAUUCCCCUUAAGAGCAACCUCACCCCUCCUUUUCAGAGGGCCGUUGGUGUGGGCCUGGAAUCUUAUUGAUUUCCUUUUCUCUUAAUUUGGCUGCAGCUUCUGAGCAUCUCCUUGUAAGCAGUUAUUUUCAAUUCUGUUUGAUUACUUGGCAAUGCUUUGUGCCUAGAUUUGCCUAUCAUUUAAAAGGGGCAACUUUUAUUGUAGGCAAUUAUCUUCUAAUUCUGUCUGACUGCAGUUGGGGUUGCUCUGUGUAUGGGAUUGUUCCUUGGAGCCAGGUGCUAAUAUGUAGCUGAGCGCUGCUGCUUGAACUCUUGCUGGGUUGUGAUUUAAUAAAUAUAAAUAAAUACAAGCGGUGCAGUUAAGUGACGUAUAGCUUGUUCAUUUUGUCAGCAGUUACGCAGAGCAAUUGAUAAUAGUAAUUCCUACUCAUAGCUAUAAAUCCAUUGGCUAUUAAUUGAGAUACUAUCGAUUAAUAAUUAAUUCAUCAACAGUGCUCCGAACUUUAUUGAUGCACAUAAUUGUAUACUAGCAUUUAAGUACAGUCAAGUUAUUAAUUGAUUGGUGAUAUUAAUACUAAUUAAAAAAUAGCAACAAUAAUUAAAUAAAAUAAUAAAAUAAAAUAAAUUUGAAAAAUAAAUAAAUAAUAAUUAAUAAUAAUAAUAAUAAAUAAUUAUAAUUAUAAAUAAUAAAAUUCAGUAUAAAAUUCAGUAUAAAAUUAACUGUUGUUCACAAGUUAGUUUUCACAAGUUAGUGUUCACAAGUUAGUUUUCACAAGUUAGUGUUCACAAGUUAGUUUUCAACUGUCUGUUUACGCUGGCAAAAGAAAUAUAAGAGCAAGAGACUCCCAGAGAACAGUGGUGAAAGAGAGGGUGAUUGAUUACAAAGUUAUAAAACUGUCACAAGACUGAUAAACAUCGCCUCCCCUCUCCCAAGAAGUGUGGCUAUCUUCCCUUUCUGGGGAUUUCUGUCUUCGGCUGUGGACUGCUACGGAGUAUAAAUAAAUUUAGCAACAGCUAAGAGUACUUCUGCUGACUCACGCGCUCCGACAUUUUCUUAGACCGACAUUUUCCUGGUUUGAGGAACGGAAAUGAAUUGUAUAAGACUGACAUAGACUGACAUAGAUUGAGAAAGGGGUCGAAAAUCGCAGAGGGGGAGUGACUCAAACAGCGACAUCAGCUGGUGAAAGAAAACUUUGCACUCUUUUGAAAAAGACGUUCCUCCAAUAAGACUUAUAAGAGCAAUUACAGGGAUUUUUGCAAGAUCUGCAACUAGUGAAGAUCCCAAAACGCUGCAUCAUAAUCUGCUGAAAGAGACAAGGUUUCAUAAUUUUUUAUAGACCCUAUACCCCAUUACUGGAACAGCAUUCCUGUUACCUCUGGAAAAGUAACAUCUAGAGAGAACUUACUAGCACAUAACAUUAUUGCAUUGUACAUUAUUAAUUGAAAAUACGCCCCAGCUCUUUUCUUAUUAUUUAAAUAUACUUUUCGUAUUUUCUUUCCCCUCUUUAUUUCUUUACAAAUUAUAAAUUGCAUUAUUAUUAUUACUUCUUCUGCUUUAUUUUUCUCUUACCCUCCCAUCUUUUCUUUGUUUCUUUCCUUUGUAAUUUUUUUGUGUUUUUGUUUUGUUUUGUUUCUCUGUUUGUUUCAUUUUUGUUGCUUUUCUGGUUGUUUUUGUGUGGUUUUCAAUUUGUGUGGUUUCGUCUUGGUUUUUUUGUUUCUGUUUUUCGUUGCUGUUUUUUUCUGUUUUUGUUUGCUUUGCCUUUCACUAUCUAUUGGUAGCUAAUGCAGCUGAUAUUAGCAUCAGAUGUCAUUAGCUUUGUUGCAAGGUGCUGAUUAACUGAACUGCUAACCGGUGUAAAGAUUUAUAUAUAUGAUCUAUUACCCUGAAUGAGUAAGUGAACGCACGGAUUGCAAUCAUUUAUUAUAUUUAUUUGAUCUGAUGAAUUUGUGAUAUUGCUGUAUUGAUGCUUGGCUGUAACGAAGCAAAUGAUUCAGCAGAGGAAACACAGCCCAGAAUAACUAAGGAUAUAGUACAAGAAUACUUGGCUAGUUUAGAUGUAUUCAAGUCUCCAGGGCCAGAUGAACUGCAUCCAAGAGUAUAAAAAGAACUGGCAGAUGUGAUCUCAGAACCACUGGCAGUCAUCUUUGAGAAUUCCUGGAAAACAGGCGAAGUCCCGGCAGACUGGAGGAGGGCAAAUGUUGUCCCUAUUUUCAAAAAGGGGAAAAGAGAGGACCCAAAUAAUUACCGCCCAGUCAGUCUGACAUCAAUACCAGGGAAGAUUCUGGAGCAGAUCAUUAAGCAAACAGUCUGUGAGCACCUAGAAAGGAAUGCUGUGAUCACCAAUAGUCAGCAUGGAUUUCUGAAAAAUAAGUCAUGUCAGACUAACCUGAUCUCGUUUUUGACAGAAUUACAAGCCUGGUAGAUGAAGGGAACGCAGUGGAUGUAGCCUACCUUGAUUUCAGCAAGGCAUUUGACAAGGUGCCUCAUGAUAUUCUUGUAAAGAAGCUG
rnacentral:lncRNA from 1 species